rnacentral:rRNA from 1 species
GACGAACGCUGGCGGCGUGCCUAAUAUAUGCAAGUAGAACGCUGAAGAGAGGAGCUUGCUCUUCUUGGAUGAGUUGCGAACGGGUGAGUAACGCGUAGGUAACCUGCCUUGUAGCGGGGGAUAACUAUUGGAAACGAUAGCUAAUACCGCAUAACAAUGGAUGACACAUGUCAUUUAUUUGAAAGGGGCAAUUGCUCCACUACAAGAUGGACCUGCGUUGUAUUAGCUAGUAGGUGAGGUAAUGGCUCACCUAGGCGACGAUACAUAGCCGACCUGAGAGGGUGAUCGGCCACACUGGGACUGAGACACGGCCCAGACUCCUACGGGAGGCAGCAGUAGGGAAUCUUCGGCAAUGGGGGCAACCCUGACCGAGCAACGCCGCGUGAGUGAAGAAGGUUUUCGGAUCGUAAAGCUCUGUUGUAAGUCAAGAGCGGGUGUGAGAGUGGAAAGUUCACACUGUGACGGUAGCUUACCAGAAAGGGACGGCUAACUACGUG